rnacentral:lncRNA from 1 species
AGAGUUUCUACUUGUGUCUCUCCUCCUUUCUCCGAUUGUAGUCUCCGGCUACAAGUCGGAAGACGUGAAAUCAUGGUGUAGCCAAACACCCUACCCUCAACCUUGUGAGUAUUUUCUGAGCCAUAAACCUGACCAUUCUCCUAUCAAACAGAAGUCCGAUUUUCUCAAAAUAUCGAUGCAGCUGGCAUUGGAACGUGCCCUUAGAGCCGAAAGUAACACCUAUUCGCUAGGCUCAAAGUGCCGAAACGAGCUCGAAAAGACUGCAUGGAGUGACUGUCUUAAGCUCUAUGAGUACACCAUUCUUAGGCUUAACAAAACUGUUGAUCCCAACACAAAGUGCAGCCAAGUUGACUCUCAAACAUGGCUCAGCACUGCCCUAACAAACCUCGAAACCUGUCGAGCCGGGUUCGUCGAGCUCGGUGUCUCGGACUAUCUCUUGCCCUUGAUGUCCAACAACGUUUCCAAGCUCAUCAGCAACACUCUAUCACUCAACAAGGUCCCAUACACUGAGCCUAGCUACAAAGAGGGGUUCCCAACUUGGGUCAAGCCUGGUGACCGGAAGCUUCUGCAGUCAUCUUCUCCGGCUUCACAGGCAAAUAUCGUGGUGGCAAAGGAUGGUUCCGGUGAUUACACAACAAUAACAGCAGCAGUAUCGGCCGCGUCGAAGCGAUCGGGGACUGGAAGGUACGUGAUAUAUGUGAAGGCAGGGACAUACAAUGAGAAUAUUGAGAUUGGAGCUAAAUUGAAGAAUAUCAUGCUGUUGGGUGACGGUAUCGGAAAGACCAUCAUCACCGGAAGCAAGAGCGUCGGAGGAGGCUCCACCACCUUCAAUUCAGCCACCGUUGGUAAACAUCCGAGCUCCUAUAUCAAUCUUUUAGAAAUCAUAUAUUCAUUUCAAAGAAUUAUAUACUGAGUCUCCAAGAAAAUAAAUGAGAAUAGCGAUUUGAAGAAUCUACUAAAAGUCUAAAAGUAUACUUUAUGGAACUGGUAUAGAAAAACUAGACGAAGAAAAUUAAAAAAGUACAUAUAUAUAUAUAUAUAUAUAUAUGAUGAAUGAAGUGUUCACAUUCAAGGAGACAGUAGUUUGCAAGGCCAACUCGCUAGUGAGUGACCCAGCUGAGUUGUCAACUCAAAACUAAGUCUAAGACACGGUUGGAAAUUCUAGGUAGGUCUUUGUAAGCUGUCUAGAAAUUCGAACACUGAGCUUCUAUUGUUGACAAAAAGGCUUCAGUUGUAUGUUAAAAAAAAUUAAUUAAUAGCAGAAUGUCAAGAGGGUAAUAAUAUUUUCAUUGAUAAAGUAAAUGUUAUUAAUUUAAUAAAUACAAAAGACUAUAGAAUAUGUCAAAUAUUUUCUAAUGGCAGCCAAUGGGGGUCGAGUUGAAUUUGAGUCGAGUCGGUGAGUUUCAUGCUGAGAUUCUCUAGUAAAAAAGUGCUUUACGUCACACACAGAAACGUCCAGAUAAAUAAGGUCAACCAGCUAAGGGACGAUGCAUCACAUGGCUUACCGUUUAUGGGACCAUAGUUUAGCUACCUAGCUUGAUGGUCCUGGACCCCAAAACCCUAUUGGAUAAGUCCAAAAUCUGUACAAUUUUUAUACGUAGACCCCGGUCCACCAACAGAACAAGUCAUACAAAUUGAUGUGUCUGAUUUGAUUAAUUAAAUUAGACAACAGAGAUUGCUUGUGCCGAUCAAACAUUGUCCUAACUACCAUUAAUUUUUUCAAUUUCUUGAAUUCCUUAUAUAGCAUGGAGUGAAACUGACAAAUUCAUCCCCUAAACUUUAAACCUUUGACCCUAAACCGCUUGUUUUGAACUUUCAGCUGCGGUUGGAGAUGGAUUCAUCGGUCGAGGGCUGACGAUCCGCAACACUGCCGGAGCAGCAAACCACCAGGCAGUGGCUCUCCGGUCGGGGUCCGAUCUCUCGGUGUUCUACCAGUGCAGCUUUGAAGGGUACCAAGACACUCUCUACGUCCACUCCGAGAGACAAUUCUACAGAGAAUGUGACAUCUACGGAACAGUAGAUUUCAUUUUUGGCAAUGCUGCAGUCGUGCUACAAAACUGUAACAUUUAUCCCCGCAACCCUCCCAACAAGACUAACACAAUCACUGCCCAAGGAAGGACCGAUCCCAACCAAAAUACCGGAAUUUCCAUCCACAAUUGUAAGGUUACUGCUGCCUCAGACCUUAAAUCGGUCCAAAGCUCGGUGAAGACAUACCUUGGACGUCCAUGGAAGGAGUACUCACGGACCGUCUUCAUGAAGACGUACCUCGAUAGCCUAAUCAACCCUGCAGGGUGGAUGGAAUGGAGUGGUAACUUUGCCCUAAAGACACUAUACUAUGGUGAAUACAUGAACACCGGUCCUGGUUCAUCGACAUCGAAUAGGGUAAAUUGGGCUGGUUACCAUGUUAUAACGAGUUCAUCGGAAGCGUCAAAGUUCACCGUCGGAAACUUCAUCGCCGGCAACUCUUGGUUGCCGGCAACCAACGUGCCUUUCACCUCCGGCCUUUGAAUUGCUCCAUUUCAAUCAUAAGGGGAUCAUUUCAUGAGAAAAAUAAGUUGGUGGGGUGUCCCAACAAUUAAUACCCUAGAAGAAUAAUUGGUAAAUAUAUUGUAUCAAUCUAUGUACCAUAAUGCAACUCCAAAUGGGUUGUCAUUAUUCUUUGUUGAUUGUUCUAAGCAUAAUAUCUAAUGAAAUUAUUUUAUUAUAAUCUUCUUUUUUUAUUUUUAAAGGUCAUACCAUUUCACGACGGCGCAUGAUAUAUAUGAAAAAAUCCAAAUAAAUUUGGUCCUGCAUUUUAGUUAAGAUGGCAACAUCAUUGACUGUGUCUAUGUAUUUAUAUUUUGGGUCCAAAUAUCAACUUUAUAAACUUGAAGUGACAUAGAAUUAAAUCUAGAAGAGAGAAAAAUUCAAACACGGGUAGAGAAACUUGUGUAUUAAUUUGCUUACGUAAAUCCAUCAUAAUCCAAUGAUUUGAUAUUAGGUUGGGGCCUCUUGAGAACUUGACAAGAGUGUGAACAUACGAGGAUGGAAGAAAUUAGAAUAUUAUUAAUGAAAUAUGAUGACCUAUAAAACAGUUUGGAGAUGGCAAAUUUUCAAAUUGGUUGAAAGUGUCAAGGAAAGUGCUGAGAGAGACAGAGAGAAAGAGAGAGACAGAGAGACAGAGAGACUCUUGGAAACUUGACAAGAGUGUGAACAUAUAUGAGGAUGGAUGAAAUUAGAACAUUAUUAAUGAAAUAUGAUGACCUAUAAAACAGUUUGGAGAUGGGAAAUUUUCAAAUUGGUAGAAAGUGUCAAGUGCUAAGAGAGAGAGAGAGAGAGAGAGAGAGAGAGAGAGAGCCUCUUGGAAACUUGACAAGAGUGUGAACAUAUGAGGAUGGAUGAAAUUAGAAUAUUAUUAAUGAAAUAUGAUGACCUACUGGAGAUGGGAAAUUUUCAAAUUGGUAGAAAGUGUCAUGGAAAGUUGAGAGAGAGAGAGAGAGAGAGAGAGAGAUUUUGAGGCUUGAGGUUAAAGCCCCAACAUGUGGUACCUUGGUAGCUUGUAUUGGGCCAGGUAGGGGGCCUUUAUUUGGCCCCUUAGACCUUAAAUAUUACUUUGGGCUUCAUUUGUUGGGCUCGAGUGGUCUAUUGAGUUAGUCCUUAGAAUGAUCAUUACUUGAUUACCAUGAAAAAUGAGAAAGAAAAAAAUAUUGAAAAUUUGAAGAAAUAAAAAAUAAAAAAGAAGGUGCGAGAAAAGUUUACUAAAACAAUAGUAUAUAGUACUCAUAAAGAAGGAAGACGUGGGUGUUGUUUGGACAGCAUUAAUGGGGAAUAUGAUGAGCAGCCCUUUUGAAGAGGAUAUAUCAAGAUUAGAAUAGGAAGCAGCCACUUUAUACUAGAAAGAUAGAGCCAUGCAUUCACCUUUUUUCUGCACUUCCAUAUUAAUUAAUGUAUUAACUUUCAAAGUAGAUAACGCAGAAGCUGUCACAUGAACAAUAACAACACCAAAACAUUGAGGGAUAACCCUACACUUUUACUCCAUUCAAUAAUAUUCCAGAAAACCAAUCAACCCCAUGAUGACAUCUCAUUCUCUCUCCACCAUCUUCUCAACCUGCAUCAUAAUAUUCAUCAUGUUAUGAUGAAAAUGGAAAUGGGAAAUUUGAAACAUGAGGAAAAUUUUGAAGGAUUUACCUAGUGCUCGACGUAAAAAUGAGAGAAGAACGACGACAAUGGCGAGGCCGGCUAACACCCCUACGAUGAUUGCUACUGUUUUUCCGACUUGGUCCUGGUUGGAGGAGGAAUCUAUACCAGCACAAAAGGAAAAGGAAUGGGAAUUAGUACUGUGGAUAAAGAUUGACAAGAUACUAACCAAUGCUCCCACUACCACAAUUUGUUUGUCAAUUCUUUAGUUCAAGUAGGUGUUUGCAGAUGAAGUUUGCUUUUACUAUUUGAUGAGAAAUAAAAGAUGGGAAUGGUCUAAGAUUUGCAUUUUGUGUUGGUGGUUUUGGGAUGGUUGUUCUAAGAUUCCAUCUUUUCUUUUCUCUUUUUCCUACAUUUUCUUGGCCACCAAACAAGCUUUAAGAAAUAAUUGAUGGCUUGGUGCAAAUCACUUUGUUGAAGUGUGGAAUUAAUUGGCCUACUCUUGUUGAUGGUUUAAUUAUUAAGUUGAGUGAAGCAACACUUUCUGGAUUCAUCAAACAGUUGGUCUCAAUAUGAUUGAAAACAAAAAGAAAGAAAAGAAAAGAGAGACAAGAUAAAGGAAGAGAGGAAUUAAUGUCAGCAAAAAUGAAGGUGUGCCCAAAAGAAAGUUAAGUAAAGUGGCAUUACCACCCCCAUGAUGCUUUACUUUAUAAAAAGAUUGCUUGUUGACUCUUAGGGCUUUGAAUUUUUUCAAAUGGGCUCUCCCUUUUCCAUCUCAAAAACUCUGCCCCUCUUUAUCAAUUCACUAUAUGCAUCAAAACCUGCAAAUGCCCUCAUAUUUUACUCACUCAACAGGAAAAAAACAUACCCUUUUUCCCUUUCUUUUUCUUCUCUUAAUUUAUCAUUAUCAAGAGGCUUAUUUCUGUUUCUUUUUGCUCCUUCUAACCUUGUAAAACAUCUAUACCCUCACACAGGUGAUAGAUAGAGAAUACCUAAGAGCUUAAGACAGCUGUUUUAAGGCUAAUAUGAAAAAUUGUUAAGUAUGCAACAAUGCUGCAGUCUCACAAAAAAUGCCUAUUAAAAAUGAUUCUGUGAUAAGUGUGUAAGACCGAAGAUAAUCUGAUAUCAGUAUAAGCCUCGGGAUGUGUGAGUGGGUUAAGCCACACUAUAUACCACAGGAUUGAACCACAUAAAGACUACUAGCUUGACCUUAUUAAUAACCAGUUGGUUUACAGAUGAGAUGAUUAAACCCUAUAUACUAACAAAAAAUUUGUAUAAUAAGGGGAAAAAAUGCCCAUAACCAAUUGAUUUUUGGAUGAGAUAUUAAACCGUAGAUACUAACAAAAAUUUUAAAACAAGGGAAGAAAAUUUUGGGGAGGAGUACCUGAAGAGAAAUCAUAGUAGCCAGAAGCCCAGUACCUAGCAUAGCACUGUGACAAGAACACAUCUGAUGCAGAAGCUGAUCCACACAGAUUCUUCAGCUUUCCAACAGCUUCAGCAAGACAAGCAGAGCAAUCACCUGAGCUCAGGUCCCCUAAACACUGGGCAAAACCUUGAACCAACCCUGAACUACUGACUCGAAACCCAGUUGCAGUCUGUAAGUCAGCAAGAACAUCGUCCCUUCGCCUAUAGAACUCCACAUCAUUGCUCACGCUCUUACUACACUUCUUGUACAUAAGGCUCGUAUCCAGCCUCCCCAAGAAGUCCACAUGCUCAUACCUCACGUAACAGCCUUCCAGCUGCAAACCAGCCCCAUAGGAGUACGGACAAACCAGACUUAUUUGGCUAACUGCACUCUCAAUACACCUUGAGCAGUCAGUCGUCUUCAAGUCGCCUCUGCACUGAUACAAACCAUACACGGCCCCCUCCGUUGAGGUUGAGCUGCCAUUUCCCAUGGCGAAGCUAUUGUAAGAGGUCUGAGGGGCAGAGCUCACAACUGAGGCCAGUAAAGAAUUGAGGCUGCCUUCAAAGGCUGAGUUUGGUUGGUACUUUUCUUGGGAACAGCCUGCGUAGAUGAAGAUGUGGGAGUCGACGAGGCGGCCAUGGCUGUUGAGGGAGGAGAAGAUGAAGAAAAGAGAGUAAAGUCUGAGUGCAAAGAUGAAGAUAUUGUCAGUAGAGUGUGGUUGAAGGCUUCUCAACAUUUUCUUCUUUAGCCUUCUCAUCCAAUUUUUUUUUUCUCUUGUUUGAUUUUGGGUUUGGUUGGGCUUCUUUUUUAAAAAAGAGUUUUUCAUGUGGAGCCUUCCCAAAGAAGAAAGGGCCCAGUUGGUCAUCAAUGGGCCUACUUGUGUGUGUGUGGAUUAUUAUACCAUCUUUUCUAAAAGUUGUACUUUCACUCGAGAAUAUUGUCAUAAAUAUGAACAAACACCAUUCCUUUUUAACCAUGGUGGGGAUCUGUGGGUUUAUGGCCUUCAAAUGAUUUGGAUUGUAAAGAUGGUCAAUAGACCUUUUUGUAUCUGAGCCCAGCCCAAUGUUAACUGGGCUAAGGAGACCAGCCCAUGAAAUAGGUGGACCAGAAAGGCUUGAAUUUGGAGGUGCACGCACUGAGUGGGUGGAUCCACCCAUGAUUAUAUUGUUUAAUACUUUCAUCUUCAUCCAAGGGAGAAUAUGGCAAUGGAAAUGAAAAUGAUUUUCUAAAAUAUCUUUUUUUUUUUUUCAAAAUAAAAAAUCACAGAUAUUUCUUUUUGUUACCGUUGAAAAUGUUACGGUCUGGAUGCAAAGAAUAAUUUAAAAAUAAACCUCUCUUAAUAAUUUAAUAAAAUAAUUUUCUAUUUCACAAGAAGAAGGUUUUCCUUACGGAAGCAACACAAUCUUAAGCAAUUUUUGAAAAAUCGUGUAUGAAGUUGACGUAUCCUUACCCUUACCUUACUUGACAUAAGGCUAAGGAAGUUAGGAACUUUUGAUGAAAGAGGCAUUAAGGAAAGAAUUGUGACUUUUCAUAGCCGUAAUAUGACAAAACUCCUUAUAAUUAUUAAACAACUUAAAAUCAAUGAUUUUCAUUCUUUUCUCUUUCCUCAUACUUUCAUAAAUAUUUCAAUUGAAUUCUUAAUUUUAAUUUUAAUUUCAAUUUCAAUUAUUUCCUUUUCUUUUUUUUCCCCAUUUCAUUUUCUUAGAAUUUAGUAAACACCCCAUAAGAAGGUUUUCCUUACAAAAGCAACAAAGUCUUAAGCAAUUUUUGAAAAACCAUGUAUGAAGUUGAUGUACCCUUUCCCUUAUCUUACUUGACAUAAGGUCGAGAAGUUAGGAACUUUUGACAAAAAAGGCGACGAGGAACUAAACUCUGAAGAACGAUGAUUUUUCAUAAUAGUAAUAUGAUUAAACUGUUUAUAAUUAUUAAAUAACUUAAAAUCAAUUAUUUUCAUUCUUUUCUCUUUCCUCAUAAUUUCAUAAACAUUUCAAUCCAAAUUCUUAAUUUUAAUUCUAAUUUCAAUUUCAAUUAUUUCCUUUUCUUUUUUUUCCCCCAUUUCAUUUUCUUAGAAUUUAGUAAACACAUAAGAAGGUUUUCGUUACGGAAGCAAUAUAAUCUUAGUGUGAAGUUGAUGUACCCUUACCCUUAUCUUACUCGACAUAAAGUCGAAAAGUUAGGAACUUUUGACAAAAAAGGCGAUGAUGAACUAAACUCUGAAGAACGAUGACUUUUCAUAGUCGUAAUAUGAUCAAACUCUUUAUAAUUAUUAAAUAACUUAAAAUCAAUUAUUUUCAUUCUUUUCUCUUUCCUCAUAAUUUCAUAAACAUUUCAAUCAAAAUUCUUAAUUUUAAUUCUAUUUUCAAUUUCAAUUAUUUCCUUUCCCUUUUUUUUUCUUUUUCCUUUUCCUCCAUUUCAUUUUCUUAAAAUUUAGUAAACACCCAUAAGGUAAUGAAACUCAAGGCAAGUUUUAAAUUUGUGUUCAUCCAAACAAAGCCUAAGCAAUGAAUGGUUGUGGACUCCUUCAAGUUUCAACUUCUCAAAAUUUGAAGUGGCCCUCCUUUUCACAAGCCAUCACUUGCACAUCUUGAUUGAGCAAAGACAUCCCCAAAUGGCAAACCGGAAAGAUAAUCAUCUCUUCGCCAUUAUUCCAUUGAAGAUGACACAUUCUUUCCAAGCUACAAACUCAUCAAAUUAUCCUAACCACCCAAUUAAAUAAAACAUUAAUAUACCACACCACCUUCCUAGUUCACACAACCCCCCACCAGCCCAACCCUCUUUUCUAGGGCAUAGUGGUGAAGGCUUGGCAUGCGAGUGGAUAUUUCCUUCAAAUGAAACCAAGUCCAUAAGGUAUGAAAAUGGUUUUUUUUUUUUUUCCCCUUGUUUGUAAUGGGUCCAAUAUAGAGCAACUUGUUAUAUUAGUUUUGUCCGAUCUGUGUUGGGUGUUUAUUUGUUUUUAAUUAAUUUUAAAUAUAACUUAAAACUAAAUAUUAUUUAAUAGUACUAAGUAUUAGAUAGUUUGUUUUUAUAAUAUUUUAUAUCUGUUAAACAUUAAAAAUGAAAGAAAAACUAAUAUAGUACUUUUUUCUAUUUAGGAAAAGUUGAUAGUGUUUUGUUUUUUUGGCUUAAUAUAAAAAGUCAAAAUAUUUUGUUUUUUAUAUUCGGUUAAAAGUACCAUAUUGAUAUCAAUCAAAAUAACUAAACUAAACCUAUUAAUAGCAAAUUCACUUCAAUUAUCUUAAUUGAUAUUAACAUGUUAAUUUUACCUUAAUAGAAAAAAUCAAAUAUUUUGACAUUUUUUAUUCAAUCAAACAAAAAUUACCACCUAAAAUCAUUUUUCAUAUUUAUAUGAUUAUUAUUCAAAAUAUUCUCUAAUAGAUAAUUAAAAUAUAUUAUCAGGAAAAAAAAAAACCUUAUUUCUAAAACAAAUUCAUAAAUACUAUUUUCUAUCAAAAAUUAUUAAAUACAUUUUCAAUCUUGAAAAGUCAGGUUUUUAUUUUUAAGUAUAGAAAAUUGUUCUUAAAAAUAUUUUUUGACAAACUCUUUUUAAUUUAAAAUAAUUUUAAUUAUUUUUCUUCUCUUGUCCUUUAUCUCCCUAUUUUCUAUGCUACACAUUUUUCCACUUAUUUUCCCCCAACAAACAUGGAAAGUUUUCGUGAAGGUUUUUCCAUAUGUAUGUAUACAAGAGAGUCGUGUUUGACCAACUAAAGCCAUGGAUUGUGGGGUGGGUUUGGGGCAUAUCCAAAUCGUACAUUUUUUUUAGAAAGGGGGUUACAUUCUACAUUGUACAUCAAUAAUGAGGUAAGGGAGGUUGAAGAAGAAGUGUCAUUUUCCUCCCAUCCAAACACUUUUCCAACAAGCAGAGAAUUGAUUGGUUGCAGCCUUGCAGGAAUAGAACUUUUCUUUGCUUUCCAAUUUUAAUGAUGAAAAGGGUUAAAGGCACUCUCUUCAUCCUUUAAAAUUAUUUACUUGAACUUAGAUUCCACUCUCACCAUCUUAUCAAAUUAUUAAAUUAUUUAAUAGUUUUUCAGUGGAAUAUCUUUAAUUUUGUUUUCAUAAAUGGGAAUAAGAUGGAGGAUGAAAUUAUUCAAAGGAAAAAAAAAAGAAAUAAAAUAUUAAAAGAUCCAACUUAUUUGGUUUUGGGAAAGUUUGAAGAAAAAAUGGGAGAUAAAUAAAACAAAGAGAAAAUAUAUAGAAAAAGAAAAAAAAAUAGAUUUAAAGAUAAUAAAUUUAAUUCAUGUUUAUAUUCAGUUUUUUUUUAAUAAUAAAAUAAAUAUUUUAUUAUGAAACAUAACUCUUUUGGACAAAAACUUUAACACUUUAGGAUAAAAAAUUAAUGAUAUAAAAAUGUUAAAAUAAAGUUCAAUACUUGAAAAUUAUUUUUUCAAAUAUGGGUAUCUCAUUAUUUAAUAUUUUUUUAAUAAUUUUAAUAAAACAUUUUUAUUGAGAGUAGGGGUGAUAGGGUAUGUACCACAUCAAGAUCCCAAAAUUGAACCAUUCACACAUUCAACAAUCACUAGUGGGGGGUGGGGACUCCCUUUAUUCACAUAUAGGAGUGAUUCCCAUCGUAGAUUCUCCACUACCCCCACCAUUUAUGCCGAUUAAGACCCUUGUGGUCACCAUUACUAUUGCACACACAUCUUCAACUAUAUCAUAAAGUUUAACAUUACUCAACUUUAAAUUAAAUUUAGAAAAAAAAAAUCAAUUUAAAUAAUUUUAAUUCAAUACUUCUCAUUGGUUUAAAAAAACCUAAGAGAUGACCAAUAAAAUUAACAUUAGAGUUACUUGUAUUUAAAUAAAAUUAAUCUCUUAAUAAUGGGUUUAGGAGUGAUUUUAGAAAGCAUUUAUAAUAUUUAUAAUACUUGAAUGAUGAAAAAUUUUAAGUAUUAAAAAUAUUAAAAGUUUUUUUUAUAAUUACUACCAAACAUAUUCUAAUCUUAUCGUUAAUCAAUUUAUUAAUGGCGAGGGUUCAAGAAAAAAUCUUUACAUAUACUCACAACUAGUAUUACAUCAUGUAUUAAAAAGAGAAAAUGAAAACAAAAUAAAUAUCAAGAAAAAAAAGGCUAAAACAAAAUUACUAGCGAAUCAAUAUCUUAAUAAGAAGUUUAUCAUCAUCAUCAUCAUCGUCAAUAAUGGCAACCAGCUGAGUAGUGCCGCCUCCACGUCAUUUUUCGGCAGCCCUGACAGGCGGCGAUCCUCGUCUGUACGCUCUCGAACUCCGAUAUCCGGCAAGGUAUGGUGAUGCCACCUGGGUGCUGAAACCCAUACUCCUCCUCGGAUUCUCUCAGCAACUCACCAAACAAUGGGUGGUUGAAGUAUAUCACCGGCACAAGGACUCGCUGGAAGUCGCCGUCUUUUUGACCCACGUACACCGCCAGAUGACCUUUCGGAACCGUCGCCGCUGGCAUCUCCUCACCCACCGGAAGGUAACCGGAGAAACAAGCCGGACCCGGGUUCAACGAACAUAUCCUCUUGGCUUUGGUUUUGAGACGUUGACCCCAGUUGCAGAGUCGAGAAAUGGUCUUGGUCUUGCCGGUCGAUUGCCCGAGACGGUGGUACCCAGAUGGGUUUCGGCUUCGCCGGAAAAACCAUCCGCAGAACUUGACGACCCGUUUUCCUAGUUUGAAGCCCCUGAUCUUUCUCAUGGUGUAAGUAUUUGAUGCGAGAGAAAAGUUCAGAAACUAUAAAUUCCCAGAAUUUUCAAAAGAAAUGAAAAGGUAUUUGGCUCAGGAGAAAGGCCAUGGAUCUGCAACAGACAUGGCGAGACGGAAGAGAGUGAGACAGACUUCAGAGAGAGAGGUGGGGAUGUUGGACAUGUUGCUGAUCACUAGUUUCGCAGAAGAAGUAUCUCAUGAAGAUGUAAUAAAUAAAGUAAGCCACACCUUUUUGUCUUAAACCCUUUCUCUCCGUCAACACUUAACGUUGGCAGUGGAGGUGGCGUAGGUUGCGGCUAUCGCGGCGGUGGCGGUGGAAGAGGAGAAUAUUGUGAGAGUUGAAACAAAGAGGAAGGUAGAGAGAUUUAUAGCGAGACACACGGCUGUGAUUUGGUCGGCACGCGUUGGAGACUUAGAACAGUAUACGAUCAAAUAAGUCAAAGGUCAGCUGAAGCAACGGCCAGAUGCGAGUUCCUGCGAAGAUGAGUAGCCUGCCAUUACAAUUCUUAUCUAAUUAAAACAAACCAUAAAGGAAUAAUUUCAUCCGUACACAUAGAAUACUUUCUUCUCAAAUGGGCGGAAGAAAAAUAUGUCAUCUACAUCUCUUGAAAUAGAAAAAGGUUGGAAUUAUUUAAUUAUUUGGAAUAUUUUAAUUUCCUUUAAAGAUAUUGACUUUUAUAGAUAUGAAAUUAAAUUAAUUUGUUUUCUAGAAUUUACAACGAUUUUCAAAAAUUAUUCCCUAAAAUAGGAAUUUCAAAUUAGAUUAUUCCUAAACUAGUUUUUAUGUUAAAAUAUUUUUAAAUUAAAAAUUGUUAAAUACAUUAUUUAGUCUGAAUUUAAAAACAAAAACAAAAACAAAAAAACAAAAAAAAUCAAUUUUGAAAACAGUCGGCAGCGUGCUUCGUGGAAUCCUGGCUUGCAUUUGGAGUGAGAGAAAAUGGUUUCAAAGUAGAAAAUUACUAAAUUAGAGAGAUUUCGGAGAAACUCUACACCUAACGACGUAUACUUUUCAAAUACGUGACAAUGCCGUCAAAAGACCAAAAGGCUAGUCUCCGAUAAUUAUCGUACUGCACGAAUACAUUAAUCUCCUGCAACCUCCUUCUUUCUGCCGACACGUGGCUAACACGCGGGUCCCAUUUUCCAAACAAAAUGAAUAAUUAAAUGCAGUGGGACCCGCAUCCAUCUAAACGGACGAAGGGUUAUCCGCCUAACAUCCAUAUUUACUAUAUAAAUAAUAAAUAUUCCAAACCGUUACGUGUCUCCACGAGCAUAAACGUUUGACUUUAAAUUCAGAAUGGUGUGGACCAUUCUUCAGUGCACCUGAAAAACACUCUAUAAAAUCUCCUUCAAUAAAUCAAUUGAUCAAAAUGGACUCCGGCGCCUUUGACCUUAAAUACUCAUUUCCGUACAUAUCGUACGCACUCCGUACGACGUCGUCUACAAACGGUGCUGAAAAAUAUGUGGGCCCAGGUGAUGCCAAUUUCCAAAAGUGGUAGGCCCAGCCCACUUUUUCCCGGAAGGAGACCAUGGGCUGUCCUUUAUUCUUUUCCCCAACCGGUCCAGAAAAAUGAAAAUAUGAACAAGCUUUUGAAAAUAAAUAAAACAGAAGACAAAUCAAAUCAAUGUUUUUGUUGUUUUCAGAGGCUUCAAUUUCCAAGUCCCAGCAUGAAAUCUAGUGAUUUGGGUUAGUACAAAACACCCAAAAUUUUGCUUUGAAAAUCAAAAUCUUUGACAUUGGAAGAAAAACCGAAAGCAGAAAAAUGGGGACCAAAAGGACAGAUGUAUGGCGUGUGGAUGAUGGAGGUUGGCGUUUGGUACAAAAUUGGCAACUACUAGCACCAUAGAUUGUGGUGGAACUUUAAAAACAUUUUAUAUUGAAUUAUCUUUAUUUGACUAACCCAUUUGUUGGGCCCAAAAAAAUAAUUAAAUUAAUUUAUUUAAGUUAUCAUAUCACAACUUUUAACAUUCAUUGGUUUUAACAACAAUAAUACAAUGAUAUAAAGUGGAGUCUCUUAAAAGUGGAAGAAAUAUUAAUUUAAUAUCAAUAAAAAAAUUUAAGGUUACAUUUUAACUUCUCAAUCUCGGACGGAUUUUACGCUUUAUCUCCCAUAUUUAAAACUCAAGACUUUGUUUUCUAGAUUUGUUAAAAUGCACAUUUAUUACCCAAGUUCAAUAUUAUCACACUUCGUAGUUAUAUGUAAAAAUUACGCAUAGUCAUAUGAAAAUCUCUUUAAAAUAAAAAUUCAGAACUGAUAAUUAUUAUAUUUUAAAAAUAUUUAAGAAAUUUCACUUUAAGAUUAACAAUUUAAAAUUGAUUUUACUUAAUAUUAUAUUAGUAUUCAAAUUAAAGUACAAAAAUGAUCAAUUUUUUUAUGUAUAAUUUUAUCGAAGAUUUGUGAUUAAGGGCAAAAUGUCGGGUUUUAAAUAUGAUAAGGUAAAAUGUAGAACAAGGGAUUUAACCCUAAUAAUUAUGCAUGGCACAAAUAAUCAAAGAUAUUUAUUUUUUAUUAUUUGAAUGGUUAAACUAUUUAUUAAUGAAAUUAUUAAAGUCAAACUUACUUUUUCUUUUUAAUCCUUUUUUCAGACAUUUCAAGAUUGAGAUAAAAUUCAAUAUGCCAACUACCAGUUGAAAACUUUGAUUCCAAUACUUGGUUGACACUAGUAACCCACAUCCAAAGCUACUUUUCCAAUUGUUUCAAACCUAGCUUUUGAAAUGUGGACAAACAAAUUAUGUGUAGAGCAUAUAUGCAUAUGACCUAUUAAAGUGAACAAAGCUAAACAAAUCUUGACAAAAGUGACAAUGAGAUAGUGAUUUUAAUUUUUAAUUUACCCUGUUGUGGAAAAAGUGUAUUGGCAUGGGUGAGAAGUGGAAAACACAAAGGGCACAAGGACACAAGGACAAUAUAUGGGAUAUGUUGGUCCCCCUAAAAGGUGGGGUCAUGGGUUUUAUUUUUUUAUUUUUAUAUAUUAUUAUUAACUCUAUCUUCACUUUAAGCAUAAAGUGAGAUUGUGAUAAUCUCUUUUUGUUUGUAGGGGAUGGGGGUAUUAAUACAUUCUAUUUUGUACGGAUGUUAUUGUUUAUAUAAUUUAAAAUUUAUUAUAUAAUACAGAAUUCACUAAGGAUGAUAUUUUAAGGUUAUAUUUGGUUGACGGGAUAGGAUAAGAUAUGUAUAUCUUAUCAUAUCAUAUUUUAUUUUAUAAGUGAUGAAAAAUAAGGUUUCAAGUUAUAUUAUAAAUAGAACUACAAAUAUGUGAACCCUUCUUUUCUUACCGGACAAGAGUUUACCUUCCUUUUCACGGAGGAAAAUUAUAAAAACUUCGUAAAAUGACUUUUUAAAAAAUGAAAAGUGUAUGUUUCUUUUGUAUUCAAAGAGAAAGAAAGAAAAAAAAAACUUUUAUUUAUUUAUUUAAUUGUGACAGUUUCAGUUUUAAAACUCUUAGAAAUUGCUCUUCUUAUUUCUCUUAUUUAUUGGGUUGGGUCAACUCUCUUGGGCACCUAAAUUUAACUUCAAUAAUAAGAAAUGCAUAUCUUAAUAUAUGAUUUUUAAUGAGAUAUGAUAUCCUUAAAUAUUAAAUCCAAUAAACAUGAUAUCCUAAGAUAACAUAUCCAAUAUGUUAUGUUUUUUUAUAUUUAUUUUGUAGAAUGAAUAAAAAAUAAAAUUGAAUAUAGAUUAUUUUUUAAUGUUUAAAAUAAAAAUUAUAUUAUAUUCUAAUAUUUUUAUAUUUAAAAAAAUUUAAAUUUUCUCUUAAAUUUAACACUAUUCAUGAUUAAUAUAUUUAAACUUUAGAAAUAAUUUUUUUUAUUAUUCUAUUCAAUAUAUAAAAAUAAUUUAUAAAAUAAGUAAUAUAAAAAAUUAAAAUUUUGAUAAAAAUAAAUAAAUGUAUUAUUCAAAAUCAAUUCUCAAUUAUUUUAGGGUAUAAUUUUUUUAGGAAAAAAUUCUAACUUAUUUUAUAGGAAUGUAUAUUUAUAUACAAAAUAAAAAUUUUCAAAAUAUUCUCUAUUUUUAAAUUAUUAUUUAUAAAACUUUAUAAAAAUAACUAAAAAUACUAUUUUUAUUUUAAUAACAAAUUCUAAGAAAACUAUUUAUAUUUUCUAAAUUAGAAAACAACCCCUUAAUUUUUUGCUUUUAAUUUUGAGUUAUUUGAUUAAAAAGGUCAUUAAAUACUCAAAUUUGGAAAUGUAACUUUUCACCUUUUAAUUUUUUUUUUAUUUACAAAAACGCUCUCAUAUAUAUGUAUAUUUAGGUAAAAAUAACUUUUUCCUUUAAAAUUUUGUAUGUAAAUAACUGAAAUGAUUAAAGAUGUUUAUAUUAAAAAUGGAUUAAUUUUCAAGUCAAAAUAUAAGAGAGGUUAGAUUUAUAAAUUUUAGAUUAUUUAAUAUCUUUUAUACAAAAAAAAAAUGGACGAUAAAUUACAAUCAGGAUUAAAAUAAAAUUGUUCAUAUAAUCAAAAUUUUAUAGAAUAUGCAAGAUCUUAUAGUAUGAACUAAAACAAUACCUCCAAUAUGGCAUUAUUCUUUUAUAAAAUAUUGUAUAUAUUAAUAUAUUAUUAUAAUAUUAGAUUUUUUUAUAAAAUAAAAAAAGUUAUUAAAAAUAUCCGACAAAGUAAAUAUAAGAAAGUAGAUAGAGAAAUAUAAGGAAGAAUCGAAAACAUCGGACAAAGAAAAGACUUGUGAUUCGAAGUGUAGAUAUAAAUAAUAAGGGAAAUAUGAGAUGUUUGGAGAACUUAAUAAUUGUAUUAUCAUAUGUGGACAUAGGCAUGGUUAAUCGAAUUAAGUUAAAACCUUAUAUAUCUUUAUAUGAAUUGUUUUUAUUUUUAUGUCAUUAAACUAACAUCUUUGUAUUAAAGCUUUUAUUCACACAGCAAAUAUCAAAGUUUUGGUUGAACAUUUUUGAAAGAACCAAAAAUGGCCUUAAAAUGGAUCAAGGAAAAAAAAAAAGAAAAAGCCACCAGAUUCAAUCUAGUUAUCAAAUGCAAAUUCAAACAUGGUCUUGAAAUUGAUUUAAAAGUGCGUUUAGAAGUAAUUUUAGAAAGCGUUUAUAAUAUUUAUAACACUUGAAUGAUAAAAAAUUUUAAAUAUUAAAAAUAUUAUAAACAUUUCUUAGAAUCACUAUCAAACAGAAUCUUAUAAUGCGUUUGACAACGAUUUUAGGACGUGUUUUAAAAUUUUUAAUACUUAAAAAUUUUUGUAUUCUAAAUAUUUGAAAAAUUAGAAAUAUUUUCUAAAACCACCGUGAGGCUGAUAAGAUAUUUUAAAUUUUUACUAAAAAAAACAUUACUUAAAUGAUGUUAUCAUGAUGUAAACGACGGUUGAGAAAUCAUUUUUUUUUUCAUUUUAAUCAUUGUGCUUAGGCUUCUAUUGAAGUUGAAGAAAUAUGAAUAUGACUAAGGUUUAAUCAUUGUACUUAGCUUUCCAUUGAAGUGGAAGGAAUAUGAGUAUGAUUAAGCUUGCAUUAUAGACCAAGAACCAUGAAAUUAAUGAUCGAGAGAUAAAGAAAAGUACAUACACUACCAACUGUAGCAGUUGGGGGGGUGGGGGUGGUUUUGAAAUCUACUUCACUUUUAAUGAUUAGGUGAAUACCACCACCUCACUCCAUGACCAAUCAUUAUAAUCAAUAUACCAUUAUUGGAAAAUCAAAGCCAACUGGCAAAAUUUCACAAAAUAAAAAAUAAAAAAUAAAAAUGUAGUUUGAGUAUGUGAUGUGGCCUGUGGGAUUAUUCCAAAUGUUGAUUAGCUAAAUGCCACGUCAUGCAUGGUCAUCCAUGAGAUCAAAAUUUCAUACUAUUUAAAAAAUUAAUUAUAUAAAUAUGUAAAAUAAUUAAAAAUAAGAUAUUAGAUAUGAAAUUUAUUUUUAAAAUAUAUAUAAAAAUAUUUUAGAUUUUUAAAUAAAUUUUAUUUUAUAAAAUAUUAGAGAAAAGUGAUUUCCCAACACCAUUUGUAGAUAUUUAUUAUGAUAUAACGUCGCAAUCAUUUGUACCAAAACCUGUACCUGCCAUCCCUGACCAAGAGGCGCCGUCCAAAGGCUUUAUAAAAUUAAUUUAUUAUGUGUCCAUUUUUAUUAUAAAGUAUUUUUUUUAAUUAAUUUGUGAGCUCAUCCGCCAUUGAAUAUAAAAUUAAGGUAGCCUACAUUUGUUUUUCAUCUUCAAUUAAAAUAUAGUACAUUUCCUUGGUCGACACAACGUGGUGGAGAUUCGAACCUAAUGAAGGGAAAAACAAAUUUGAUUAAAUUCUAAAUAUAAUUUUUUUGACAAUAAUAAUAAUAAUAAAAAUAAUAAAAAUAAUAAUAAUAAUAAUAAUAAUAUUGUUUAUAUGUUUUUGAGACUAGCGUGGAAGGCAUGCUUUUUUAUUAUAAUCACAUGUUGAGUUUACUUUAAGAAUUCACAUUGAAAUGGUUGACCUUCCUUUUUUUUUUUCUUCCCUCCCUCUUUCUAUUUGAAUGUAUUCCCUAUCUCCAAUGUAAAAAGGAAUAUAAAUGUGAAAUUUUGACCCAAAAUUUUGGGACUUGAGGAUUCUUGAUGCAAAAAUCAAAAUAAAUGGUGUCCAAUCCAACUUUUGCAUUGACUCAAAUGCUUUCGAUGAUUAAUUUUUUUUAUACUAAUUAAUUAAAUUUAUUAUUGUAAUAAUAAUUUUAUUAAUAUUUAUUUAGUUCAUUGUUUACUAUCUUGUUUUUCAUAGAAAUGUAUAUUUGACCCAAAGAGAUCUAGAACUCGAUGGUAAAUGUCAUGUGAGAAUAUACAAAAUCUUCUUGAAUAGAGCAUGUUGGGAAAUAAUAUUGAGUUUCCUAAAUGAUUGAUAAUGUUAAAUAUCCUAAAAUGUUUGAUCUAAAUUUAUCAAAUAUCAAUUGAUUUUUAGAUGAUAUGAUCAAAAACACGAUUCAAUAAUUAGUAUCAAAUUCAUGAUUAUAUGAGUCUUAUGUUAAGGGAAAGAUUACUAAGGUACGAUAACCAACUUAUAAGAUAAACACAAUUGACUGUAUUAAUCUUGAUAGCUACACCACCCACAAAAUUUAAAGAACCUAAAGGAGCGUAAGUCAUAUAUUCCAAAGAACGCCAUUCUUGAUCAUUCUUAAGUUUGAAUAUAAGUCAUCAUAGUCAAUAUGGAGCGUUGACCCGAUCAAAGCUAAAAAAUGAGUUGUUUCUUUGCUCCCUAAGGGAGUUGAGAACCCCAAACCAAAAGGUUGGCUAGUACCCACCUUACCAUUGGGGCAAAUUUGCCCCUUAUUAAUUGUUCUAAUAUACAUAUAUAUUAAAAAGUUUGCAUAUACAUAAAAUAUUAAAUCAAUAUUUUAAACAACGACUUAAUUAGAAUUAUUUUAUAAUUACAUAAAAAUUUUCAUUUUAUUGAAUAGAAAAACGUUUUUAAUAUCAUUAAUAUAUUAAUCAAAUAUUAAAAAAUUUAUAUAUUAUAAUCAAAUAUCAUAAUAUUAUUAUUGAAUAAUAUUUGAUGUAAUUUAAUAAUCAAUGUACACUUAUAUCUAUAUAUAUUAAUUUAUUUAACAAAAUAACUUUAAAAUAUCUAUUAUACUUCUAAUUUCAUUUCUAAAAAUUUUGUUUUAUAUUUUCACAGGUUUUGAUCAAUUUUAGGUCAAUCGAUAUUUUAUAUUAAAAUAUCUACUGAUAUAUAUGUGAUUACUGAUAUUUUUAUUCUAAGUCAAAGACUAUAAAACGUUUGAUCUAUCACUAUCAUUGAUCAAUUAAUUUUCAAACAAGAUAUUCAAAAUCCAAUUCAAUACUUUAUUGUAAAAAUUGGAUAAAAAAAUCUCUCAUUUUAAGUUUAUUUUUAUUUUAUUUAAUUUAAUUUUCUACAUUUUUAUUUAAUUAUGCAAGACCUUCCUUAGUAAUCACCCAAGAAAGUUGAUGACAGAUGGGUUCAACUCAUAGCCAUUAAUUACAUUUAACUUGACAUCAUGCCCUUGAAAUAAGGCUAUGAAAAUUGAAAGACUCUUCCAAAAUCGAAAUCAAGACCCUUCUAGCGAAUUGCAUUCAAAUGACACAAAUUCCAACUUCUGAACGAUAUUUCUUCCUUGAAUUAAUUAUGAAUACGAUGGAUAGUGAUGCUAACCAUUUACAAAUCAGAAAAGUUGGAAUCCAUAGCUUUCUGUGAUCACGAUGGGAGAUAGUGAGACAGCCAUGCAUCAUAUCAUUUUAAUAAGGUCUAUUGGCCUUGGUUCCCAAUUUUUAAAUUGUUAGUUUACAAAAUAUGACAUAUAAUCUUAUAAUAAUGUGAUUUAAAAAUAGUUUUUUGUUUUUAAAAAUAAAAAAACUGUUUUUAAAAUUUUGUAAUACUGUUUUGACCAUUGUUUUUUUAAAAACAGUUUUUAAAAAUAAAGUGAAAUAAAAAAACGUUUUUUUAUAGAAUAAAUAAAAGUUCUUUUAUCAAUUUUAUUUUUUUUAAAGGAAAACAUGGACCCUUAAACUAUGUUUUUUUGAAACUUGUUUUUUAAAACAAGUUUUAGAAAACAUGGUCAAGCCAUAAAUUUCUCAUUUCUCGUUUUUCUAAAAAAAAAAUAAAAUUAAGUCAUUUUCACAAGUUGUUAGAGCACAAAGUAAACUUGUCCAUGGGCUUAGAUCCAAUAUGCCCAUAAGGCUUAUUGCUUUUGGGGCCUACCAAGAAAUGAUGGCCCAUUUAGAGACAUUUACAGCCCAUCCCAAUUAACCCAAUUUUUUAAUAUGUCUCCCCUUAAGUAAUAGCAUCUGAAAAAUUAAAAGCUAAUUGACUACGAGGCGGUGCAACUUAACAAUGCCAUUUGGAAAAACUUAAUAUUUAUUACUUAAUAAUUUAAGUUGACUUAUAUUAUUUUUAAGUUGUUAAUUUAAAAUUUAUUAUUUAUUUUUUACUUUAAGUAUUAAUAUUGUUCGAUAAAAUUAACUUUAAAUUUAUUUUAAGUUACUAAAUUGAUAUAUUUAUCCCCAUUAGUUAUAAUUAAUAUUUAUUAAUAAAAAUUUUUAUUAUGAAUUAUGAAUGUGAAGUCAUAGUUAUUAAAUAUAUUAUCACUAGAUAUGGAUAAAUAAGACAAAAAAAAAAAAAAACUAGAAUUAAGAAUAAAUUAAUUAUUUUAAUACUUAAAGUCAUUAUAACUUUAAGCUAUGAUAGUAAGUUAUUUUAUUAAAAAUACUUAAAUUUAUUUUAAGUUAUUAAGUUGGUUUAUCAAAUAUUUUUUUAGUUUAUAUUUGGUCAUAGGAAAUUUUGAAAGAAAGAAAGUAGAGAGAAAAAUUAAAAGAAAAUAAAAAGUAAUAUAUAUAUAUAUAUAUAGAUUUAAAUUUAAUAAAUUAAUUUUAUAUAUUACUUUAAACUCAUUUUAUUUAUUUUUCGUCUUCCAUAUAAAGAUUAAAUAUUCUAAAAACAUCAAAAUUUUAAAGCAAUUUUAAUUAUAUAUGAUUUUUAUUUUGUAUUUUCUAUGAUCAAAUUAAACAUAAGAAUAUAAUUUUUUUUAACAUUUUUUUUCCUUAUUACUUUCCGAAAACCAAACAUAACCUUAGGGUUCACAUCUAUGUCUCAAACCUGGAUUUAGCUUUAAUGCUACUUGUUAUAUAGUUAAGGCUUUAAUCAUCUCAUUUGAAAACAAAUUCACUAUUAAUUAUGUUUAGAUGUUACAUUAAAUUAAAUUUUUUUUUUGUUCGACAUUAUACUCAUAAAGAAUUAUGUACUGCAAUCCAUAAGGCCCAUACCCCAUAUGAGUAUUGGGCUUGUGUAUUGCAAUCCGUAAGGCCCAUACCCCAUUUGAUAUUGGGCUUGUGUAUUGCAAUCCAUAAGGCCCAUACCCCAUUUUUGUACGGAAACUUCAAUAAUGAAAAUUCUGGGAUGUCGGCCCAACCCAGUGAUUUCUCCGAUUUCAGCCCAAUUCAAGUGAAGGCGGGUUAGCCUGCUUAGUUUUUUGGGCUGCUAAGUUGGGCCAGCUUGCAGCUCUAGUUUUUAUAGACACAUAUUUUAACAUUAUACAAUCAAGUUAAAUUUUAGUAUCAACAAGGAUUGUAUGUCGUUGGUCUUUAUAUUACAUUUGUAGAUCAACCAACAACCUCACCCAAAUUUUCUUUUUUAAAAAACACAGAAAAGAAAAAAAAAAAAUCCAAAAACCAUUUUUUUAAAAGAUGAUUGAAAAGAAUAAUUUAAUAAAAAAUUAAAAUUACUUCAAAUAUAUCAUUUUUCAAAUAAAAUCAUCAACUAUAAUUUUCUUUUUUUUUUUUGAAAAAACUACGAAUUUUAUGUUUUUUUUUUUAAAUUUAUUUUAAUUAUAGAAGAUUAUGGUUAUAUUUGAAAAAUAGUUUCAAAAAAUAGUUUUUAAAAAUAUUUUUUAAAAUAUAAUAUAUGAUACAUGAGACUAAGGGUCUCCAAAAAGCCUGCGGCCAGCGGCCCGCUUUAGGCCAGGCCCGGCCCAAGCCCGCCCCGAUCCCGUUUAUGGGCGGGGCGGUCCGCGGGCCUAAAUUUAGGCCCGUCCUUAGGCCCGCCCCUUUAAAAAAAAACUACAAAAAUAAAAAGUAUUAAAAAAAAUAUUCAAUUAAUAAACAUUAAAGGAAUGUAGCUCAAUUGGUUAGAACCUUAAAAUUUAAAUUUUUGAAAUCCAUUUUGGCUUAUUUAAAAAAGCCCCCCGCUCAGCCCGCUAGCCCGCGGGCUCAUAGGCCGGGCUGCGGACCUAGCAUUUUAGCAUGGCCCUACCCGGUCCGGCCGAUUGACCAGUCAACGGGCCCAUAGGCCCGGCCUGAGCUGGGCCGCGAGCCUCCUAUUUAUGGCCCGGUCCGGCCGUUGGAGACCCCUACAUGAGGCCUCCCAUCAAUCCAAUGAUACAAUUUUGAAAUAAAAAAAAUUCCGAGAGAAAAAAGAAGAAAAGAGAAGAUUUUUUUAUUAUUGGAUUUUCUUAAAAAUAGGCAUGACGUUAUUAAAGUUUAAACAAAUAUAAUAAGACGAAAUAAAAAUUAAUUUAUUUUUACUUAAAAAAUUAAUUAUAAUAUAAUAAGUAAAUAAAAUAAUUAGCUUUAACAUCCCCUCAAACUCACUAUUAGUUAAAUAAAUAAUUUAAAUUUUUCGGGUUUAAGUUAAAUGUAUAUAUAAUAUUCUUUUUAAUAUAAAAAAUUAUUUUUUAUUUUUUAGUUGUUAAACAUGUUUUUUUUUUAAUUAUGAAAAUAAUUGUUUUUUUUAAUAGUACAUCCCUUACUAUUAUCAUUAUAAUUAUUAUAAAAUUAAUUUAUUAUUAUUAUUACAGACGGGUAGGAUUUGAUUUCUAGUCGAUGUGAAAUAUAAUCAGUUGAUGCUUGCACUCCAAAGUCCAGACACAGGAAGAAAAAAAGGAAAUGAUUUAUAGUAGAGUUUUCCUUUCACCCAAAAACCAGAGACAAGUACAAUACUGAACGAAGAAGAAGCAUACACAGGUGUGGAAUUGAAUUGAGAAUUCCCAACUGUAAUAACCGUCCAUUCAAAGAGGCAAAAAGGGAAGAAGACCCAGUGAGGAAGUGAGGAUCCGGAUCCGAAAUUCACUACCCCAAUGAUGGAUCCGAAUCUGGAUUUGCAGGAAUCGGGCUGGGAGGAACUCAGGAAGGAGGCUCGUAAGAUCGAGGGGGAUCUUGAUGUGAAGCUAUCUUCUUAUGCUAAGCUUGGUGCUAGGUUCACCCAAGGAGGUUCGUUUUUCUCAUUCUACUGUUUUUUUUUUUUUUUUCUUUUCAAAAUGAUUAUGUGAUUGUUUGUUUUUGCAUUGCAUUUUGGUUACUGGCCCUGAUUUAAAAAAAAAUGGGGAAUAAGUGAGAUUGAAGUUUUGGGUGAGAUUGUCGUUAUUUGAUGAAUUGGGAAUUUGGGUUUUGUUUAUUUUCCUCUGUCUUUUCAGCAAUCAAAUUGGGUUUGAAAAUUGUGGCUUGGGAAUUCAAAUAUGAGAUUGGAAUGGAGAAUUGUGAGAUUUUGCUGAUCUGAAAUGGGGUUGGGUACGUUAUUUUCGGACAAUUUGAGAGCUUUGACGAAUGUUAAUGGGUUUGUGAUGAUGUUCAUUCUUGAAUAGAUGGAAAACAUGAAGGGGAAGUAGCAGGAAUUCGUGGUCAUGAAGUAGGGAUUAAAUGGAACAGAAUUCACGGAGUGGUAGAGUUGUGGAACCACUUGUCUUUUCCUUAUUUUGGACCUUACAGGGACGGAAUGAAAUCUUAGAUUAAAGUAUUACAUAUGAAUGGUAUAAACUCCCGAACAAGAUCUCUUGAAUAGUGAACAACUGGAGUCUAUUACAUAGUUUAUACAAAAAGUUCUAAUUUUUUGCUUAACGGCUUGUGCUGGCAAAGCUUGUUGAAUGAAAUAGCUAGAUCUAGGUCCAUUUAUUCAUCUGGUUUACAAGUGAUUAAUAGUUUUGAUGGAUAAGUGAUGAAGGAUAUAGAAUUAUAGACAUUGAAAAUUGGCGGUAGCUCCAAGUGUGGGACCUAGUCAAAUUGACAGAAGGACGUAGAAAUUUAUGAUUGCAACAUAAGGGGGCACAUGAGGACAUAUGUGUGGUAUAUUUAUAAAAGAGGAAAAAAUGGGGUAGUCGAAGGUGCAACAGACUAGUGGUUUUGAUGGUGAUAUGAUCGUUGUUGAAUAGUCUAGAAGAGUGCAUUGGUUUUGCAUCUUCUUUUGAUAACUCUGAUUGAGGUGUUGACAAAGGGGACGCAUAUUGUAUUGAUCUUACUCUUGCAAUCUCACGCAUUGUUUGAUAGGAAUUGACAGCUAUGAUGAAAUGCAAUUCUUUCAGCAUUUGGAUGCAUAUUCCCCAAAUUUCUAUCGUAUUUCAACCAGAAGGGAUGGUAUCAUUGUUCCUGUAUCAGUGGGAAGUAAAAAAUUGCGAAGGGAGGAGGCAUGAUAUUCAAGAAAAAGUCCAUAUAAUUCGGCAAUUAUUCCAGUGAUGAUUGUAAUUUUGAUUCCUUCCAUUUCCAUGUGUGAAUCAUUACUUUCCUUUUUGUUAAUCUUGAUUGCAACUCCCAUUCUCCAUCCCGACUCUGUGUAUGGCUCUAUCGAAGGUUUUGGUUGUUCGGAAUUAUUGCUGGAGAUCCCGUGUUCGUGUCUACAAAUCUACAUUGUAGUGAAUUGCACCACUAUAAAUGGACUCUGAUGCAUGCCAUCCAUAUAUGAACCGAUAAAGUUAGGUGAGGCAAAUUGCCUAAUUUGCUGAGUCAUGAUUUCUUUCUCACACUUCAAGGUGUUUCAGUUUGAGGCUUUGCACAUGUUCCUUUACGACUGCCUAGCUUGAUCUGAUGGUUUUAUGGCCUUUUUUAGGUGUCUAAGCUUAUUUUGUAGCUUUAAUAAACUUCUUUUGUAGCUUUAAUUAAGCUUCUUUUGUAGCUUUAAUUAGGAAGUGCAUAUUCCAUCUUGUAAGUGUACCAUUCUUUUUUCUUUCAUAAGAGAUAUGUUUGGUGAUAUCAUGGAGACAAUUGUCUGCAAUAGUGGUCCCUUCCUUUUUUGGAAGCAUGUGCAUAGCUUAUGCGUACCUUGUUGCAUUUUUUAUUUUGGUGCUUUCUAUAUAUAAUCCUUUUGCCAAUCAAAAAACAGUGUUGUCCCUUAAUAUAAAAGUUAACCAAGAGGAUUUUUAAAUUGAUUUGUUACUUCAGAGACAAGUGAAACAAUGUGAUAGAUAGAAAGAUGAGUUUGAUUUGCUACCCUGAAUCUGGUUAAACAGGCUUAGAUUUGGGGUGGAUGUAUGUGGAAAUUGGUAUUUGCAAUGAGGGAAAGCUUGCUAUUGUCAAGAGAGCAAAAGCAUGAUGAUGAUGAAGUGCAUAAACAUGUUUGGUGAUGUAAAAAUAUGGUAGAGGUGUUGAAGAUCAUCUUAAUCUCCUUCCAAAUUUGAUUGAGGCUUGAGAGUUAAAAUUUUGCCAGAUAUCGACUCAUUAUCCUUGAUAUUGAUGAGACUUUGGAGAUGUAUUGAAGAUUGAGAAGAAUUUGAAGCAAUCACCUAGUAGAAUCCUUUCUUUUCAAGUUUGGAAGGCAGCAUAUUGUACUUUGGUUCAUCAAAAUAAUAAAUCUAAUGGUAGAGAUAGUUGCUAUGUUAUAUGCCUGUUCAAUUAUCAUCCACAUAGGCUAUGUUUGCCGGUAAAAAAAUUGCCAUCUUUCUCUCUCUUUCUCUCUCUCUCUUCCCCCCUCCCCUCUUAUUAUCAUAACUCUUUCCAUGAAUAUCCAUAGCAUGUAGAGGUUCAUUUCACAAAGUAUUGUCAUGCUGGACAUGAAGCUAUUUUCUACUAUUUAUUGUCACUAUUCAGUUGCACCUGACCAACUUUUCAGUCUCACAGUGUCAUUACCAUGUCUUCACACUGUUUUUUGCUAUGAUUUUUUGUUUGAGGAGUAUGGUGGCCGGUUCAAUGUACCUGCAAUUGUUUCUGUUUAUCAGGGGCUUUGCUUCUUUUAUAUACCAUUUUGAUGAUCUGGAGAGUUCUAUUUGUUCUCGCCUUUGGACAAAAUAUACAUCCCCACCCUUUUUGUUUUUGUUUUUUUUUUCUUUUUCUAAAUAGAAAAGAGCACGUGAAAAGACCGCAUUGCACUCUUAUUCAACCUUCAUCCACCUCACCCAAAACUGUAACCAUAACUCUUUCCUCUUAUCACUUUCUUCCAUUCCUAGCCCUAAUCUCAUGGUUGUUGCAAUUGGAGCAGCCAUAGUUGCCAUUCAUGGCAAUUCCUUUGUUGUGGUUCAGUUUUCUUAUUUUUUUAAGUUUUUACUUUUUUAGUCGGGAUUUGAUAGAGCUUAAAGCAGGUGGACAAGGGCUUGCUAGAAUUGGCUAUUACAGGAGUCCCAUCUUUUAUCUUUUUUUUUUUUUUUUUUCAAAACUAAGAAGAUGAGAUUAAGGUUGGGAAGGGAAAAAAGUGAUGGAGAGGAAGGGGAAAGAGUUAGGGUUAGGGUUUUGGGUGAGGUGGAUGAAGGUUGAAGAAGAUGGCAGUGUGGUCUUUCUACAUGCCCUUUCUACUUAAAAAGAAGAAGUGGGGGUGUAUAUAUAAUCCGGUGGGGGAGUUGGAAUAGAACACCCCCUUUGGAUUUUUGUCUUUUGAACCUUAAGGCAAGUCGUUUCAAGUCAUUUUUUUCGUUCUUCUUCUUACCCACUGUUAUCUUCGGAAUCUUUCCUGUUGAAAGACUGUUGGUUCAAUUGAACUUUAUAGACAUAAAUCUGAACCAUUUUUGUAGAUGUAAGUUUGCGGAGUGUUAUCAAAGUGUAAUUUCCAAUAUGUCACAAGCUGUAACUUCAGUGCUCUGUGUAUCUGCUCUCUUUCUCUUACAGGAUUAUCAAUAAACAUAGGUAUUAGAUUUGUUUCCUGAUCAAUUUUUUUUAACUAUGACUCAUUGAUUGUUAUUCAUAGACAGCUCCAAGGUUCAGUUGGAUAGUAGUUUGGUGAAUGUAAGCUUUUCUGAUGAUAUAUUAUUAUCGGUUCAGGAUAUGUGGACACUGGAUCACCCACUGUUAGCUCCAGCAGGUCAUGGAAGUCCAUGGAAAUGGAGAUCCAAUCCUUGCUUGAGAAGCUACUUGAUACAAAUGAUGCUAUGAGCCGAUGUGCUGCAUCUGCUGCACCUACUACUUCUGUUACUCAGAAGCUAGCAAGGCAUAGAGACAUACUUCAUGAGUUUACCCAGGUUUGUCUUCUAGAACCUGUGAUUUUAGUUGCUAGCAGUCAUAUUUUAAGUUACUUUACGCAUAUCAGAAAGUUCUGUGUCUAGGAAUCAAGUAAAAUUAAUCUCACCUAAAUGUGUCUAUGAUAUACUGCUCAUUAUUACAUAUAUGGAUUAGUUUUUCAAGAUUGUAAUCAUUUUUUCUUUCUCCUUUUCUCUUGUUUAUCAAUUAAGACACUUUCUUUAAUAUAGAGAGUGUGAAAUAUAAAGGCUGUAUGUUUGAGCAUAGCAUAUAUGCUUAAUACUUUACAGCAAACAUGAUUGAUAUAAUUCUCUUCCAAUUUAUAUUUAUUAUGAAGAGCUGAAGGUAGCUUCUCAAAAAAUGCAGUUAGAAUCUACAUAUAAGUGUCAGGCUUUUCUGAUGCAAUGACACGCAUAAUAUAAGUAUAUAUACUUGCAUCUUUUUUUUUGCCUCUGUACAGGCAAUGACUAUCUCACUGUGCUCUCAUCUUAUCUAAAUAUGUAUCUUUGUGGAGAUUUUUGGUAUAAGAGACAUAACAGUGUACGGUUAGAAUCACUUGGCAAUAGGGGGGCAUAUAUCAGUUAAGAAAAAGGUAACCAAACAACCCCAUUCAGGCUAGGUUGUACAAGAUCAGCUACUAUGAAUAUCCUAAUAAAGUCAAUUGAGAAGAGAAUAGACAUUUAAUCAAAUCUACCUAACUGUUUUGCAUGGAAGAUCACAAGAAUCAUAAUGCAAUAAGGCUAUAAACAUCAACUUUAAAAGAACUAUGUAUGUCCUCCAUAGCAUAUUAGAGGAUUAUAUUGGUGGCACUAACCCUUUGAACUUCUAAAGACCUAAUACUGGACAGUGACCUGGCUAGAUUUGAACUCAACUUGAAACUGAGUUGGUUCUAACAUCUUUCCUCUGAAUCUGAUUCGACCCUGAUUGUAUGGAUCUCAAACCUGCACUGAUCACAAUGGAGUGGGAUGCCCAAUUAACUCUUCUGGUCUCAAUCCAGUGAUCCACACCUUGGACUGAGCUAGUCAGAAUCUGUCCUAACUUUUAAUAGGCCUUAAACAUGGUCUGGUGUUCUGCCUAGCCUAAAGUAUUGCGUGUAUAGUUAUGUAUUUAAUUAUGCAGAUGUGCUUACAGCUGAAAUUAGACUUCUUUAGAAGAAAAUAGGAGGGACAAAUCUCUUAGAUAGGUUAUGUUGGCAAUGGUGGUGGUGUAGUGCCAGCGAAAGCUUUGAUGCCAACAAUGUUAGUUCAAGAACACAAAGAUAAAACAAUCACACAUACGGUACACGAGGUUUUAACGUGGUUCGGCCAACCAUGCCUACGUCCACGGAUGAGAGAGAAUAAUUCCACUAUACAAUAGAGAAUAUUACAGAGGAUAAAACCAGAUACAACUAUUGGGUUCCCGAAACAUCCCAUGUUUCCCCACUCCUUGUAUCCAUACCUUACUACGAGCCCUCUCGCUCCACCAGGUACCUCCUGUUCUUCCUCACAUCUCUAUCCACCUCGUAUAGUCUCUAUAGGCCCAUCUCCAUCUCAUAACUUUUUCCCCUCAUGACCUAGAAUAUUUAUAGAGAUAUUUCCAACAACCUUCCUUAUUCUAUAAGGAAGUCUAAUAUUACAAUAAUAUAUCAACCUAGAAAUAUUCUAUACAAUAUUCUUUACAAAAAGGAAUAUUUACUAAUUAGGAAUUUGGGACAAUUCCCAACAGGUGGCUACCUAGGGAUGAUAUUUAGAGUUGGAGUCAAAGAAAAUCUUCUAGUCCACUGGGCCUCGGGGUGCAGCUAUGUUCAUGAGCCUUAUAAUUGAGCUUUAUUUUUGUCAUGUUGAACCAAGGUUGGUGGGUUGGUGUGUUUCAACAAGGUUGUUAUCGAUUGCGAAUCUCAAGUUUUGAGGAAAGCAUUUGAUUUGGUGAUUCCCAUUUUCAUAAUUGAUCUCCUUCUAGCAAAACAAAGCUAGUUAUAUUUUUGUCUUUUCAUGCUUUAGUUAGGUGACAACAUGAGUUAUGCUCUAGUCUGUGUUAAAAUAUAUGAUCUUUGCCUGUCAAAAAAGAAAAAAAUUAUGCUCUGUUAAUUUAGCUGCACUGCUAGUCCCAAAAGGAGACAAGGUGGGAGCUACAAUCAGUUAAAAUGCAGCAUAGAACUCAAUAAAACCAUCAAUUAUCUAUUCUUUGUCAGAUUUUGAAAAAUGUACUUUUGGGAAAAAUGUGUUUUGCUAUACGCUUUUGGAAAAAAAAAUAGAAAAGUGCAUGAAAUCCUAAUUAUUUUCAGUUGAAUAUAUUAUAUUUGGAUUUUAUAAAUGUGGGUUCCUGUUUUCCAUUGUUUUUUCAGAAGUGUGUACCAAAACACACUUUUCCCUAUAAUUUUUAUUUGCAUAGUUCAUACAAGAAUGGUUAGUUGGAAGGAAAACAAUUCUGAUCUAUUAGAUGCAUAUGUGGUAUCAUAUGUAAUUUUACUUUUUUUAUUUUUAUUUUUAUUUUUUUAUCUUGAAAGCAUAAAUCUCCAGAAUGUUUCUAGGGAUGGUCAGCAGUUCAGAUGACUUUCAUUUUCUCAUCAAAUUGAUUAAGCAACUCUCAAGGAAAUGUCCUUUUUCAAGCAGCUACACUAAUAGUAUCAAUCAUGAGGCUCAAGCUUCCAAAGUUUCCAAUUUGUUUCUGUUGUGAAUCAUGAAAGAAAAAGAAAAGGUUUAAGAAGAGUCUUUUGCUUUUGUAAUCCACCAUUUCCAUAUGUUCAUUUUCUUCUCAUUCCACUACUGAUUUUUAUUCUGUUAGCUGUAUUUCACACUGUUCAGAACACCCCUGCUUGGCAUUUGAUUGACCCAACUUAAAAUCUUGAAAAGCAAUUUUCUUUUGCUCUGUUAGCAGAUUUUAAGAGGCUUUAGAAUUGGUGUUCUUAUUUCUUUGCAUGGUGUUUCUAGGUCAUACUGACACUGAUAUGGUAGUCUAAUGCAUCUUUUUUUAGGUUUUCUAACUGACUGAUUAGACACUCUCAACUGUACCCUGCUGCUUGCAUCCUUGGCAUAACCAUUUUAGCGCUAGAAUAGGCAUUUUAUCACUGUGUAAUGAAUUGCUUUAUGUCAGCUAUUCCUUUGAAAUAAAUGCUCUAGAUUUCUGUAGGAAUUUAGACGGAUCAAGGGAAACAUGAACUCAAUGAGGGAACAUGCAGAGCUUCUGAGUUCUGUCAGGGAUGAUAUCAGUGAAUACAAGGUGAUCAAGAUUAAAAUGGAAAAUUAUAUUGUCAUACUGUUAUUAUAUAGUUAUAUUUUCUCAAUACUUGGUCAAUUUUAUCCUCCUUCCUUGCAGGCAUCUGGGAGUAUGUCACCUAGAAUGCAGUUACUACGAGAGAGGGCUGCUAUCCAUGGAAGCAUAUCCCAUGUAAGACUUAAAUGCUGCUCCUCUUUGCUCCUUAAAUACGUCAGCAAGAAAAGUUCCCCUGGGAUUUCUUCGUCUCCUUCUUCUCAGUUUCAUAUGACAUAAUGGAAUAGGAAAUUAGGAUUUUGAGAUGGUGAGUAUCAAUACAAGAGAAGAUAAAAGGAGAAAUAACUACAUUUGUUUGAAGCUUAGAGGUAACACCAAUUGAGAAUAAGAUGAAAGAAGUUGCCUAGGAUGGUUAUAUCUCAAUUGGUGAACGAAAUUGCCUAGGAUGGUUGUGUCAUGUGCAACAAAGACUAAUUACUGCACUAUUAACCUUUUUAUCUUUCUUUUCUGGCUAUCAAAAAAUUAGUGAACUAAUUGAAAUUGCUACAAAGACCAUGAUAGGUUAAAAAUGACAUGUAGUGAGGAAAAAACACAAUCACCAGUGAUUUACCAGAUAAUAUGGGUUUAGAUAAAGUUGAAUUACAGAAAAGGUUCAUGCAGCCAACACUGUGCUGGCAGGAUAUAAGUAUUUGUUGAAACCUAAUGGACAAUGGAGUAAAGUUAUUUUGCAGUUCUUGUAUGAUGAUGUGUUGAGGUACUGGAUUUUUACAUAAUUUUUUUUUGAAAAUUUCCAAGUAGUUGCAUGAACUUGGCUUCAUUUGACUUUGAGUAGGGUGCCCAAAUUGAAUUAAAAUUGAUCUGGUCCAGAAAAAAAUUGUUUUAAAUCUGGAAAAUUGGCUCUUAAAUGGUUGCCAAAAAUUGCUUAUUGCUAGUUCCACUUCUUUCACCAAUCUUUUAGUUAGCAAAUAUAAAAUUAUAUACAUCUUUUUACCCUAGGAGAGUUAUUUUUAGAGUGGUUGUAUUGCUAUUUAUAUAUAUUGUCUCUUGACAUUCUUUGGAAGAGCUAACUCCCUAUUUUACAUAUCUAUGAUCUAGUUGCAAUGACAUAGAGAUCUUAUACAUGGUCUCUACCAAGAAUUUUGUCCGUUUAUUUUUUUAUUCUUCAAAACCUUGGCUCUUAAAAGUGAACUCUCUUACACAAUCUGUCAGAGAAAAUUAGGCUUUUUUCCCCUUAUUUUUGCUGGAUUUAUAGAACACAAGGCUAACUCAGAAAACCUCUUGGAUUAACCAUCAACCAUCCACUGUCUUGAUUAUCAGGCCAUGUGAUGGUCGUGUUGUUUGUAAAGUUAUUUCUUGCAAGGGCAAUAAUAUUUUUGUGAAAAGUUCAAGUGAAUCCAUUAUUAUUUGUAUUCUUAGAUCAUAUGAAGUUCUUAAUCAUUUGUGUAGAGGUGAAAUUUUGAGAUGAUUGUGCUCUCCCUCUCAAUACGCACACUCAUAUUCUAUCACGCUUAUGUUGGUGGAUGUAAUAGGUUAAUCUAUCACUGCAAUAACCUUGUCAUGAUAGUCUAUUUGUCAUUGGCUACAAAAACAAAGCCACUUAGGGAAUGCUUGAAGCACAACAUCAGUUUGUGGGUGGUCCAUUUCACACUGAAUUUCCUUUUGUAGAGCUGGAUUUACUAGCUUUAUUAUUAUUAUUAUUAUUAUGUUGUUGUUGUUGUUGUUUUGUUCUUUUUUUUUUUUUUUUUUUUUUUUUGUGAGGGUUACUUGUAAGGAUAUCUAGCAAUACAACCUUCUAAAAUAAGGUCAACCUUGAGAGCUCUAUGAAUACCAUUGCAGCAACAGCAUGUUGGUGUGUGGCUAGAAACUGACUUUUAACUAAUAAGAUAUUUGCUAUCCUCUUUUAUCCAAAAGCUGAAAAUCUUUUUCCACGUGGUGAUGUUGGGUUCACUUUUGUGCAGAUAGAUGAUGUGAUUAGUCAAGCUCAAACGACAAGGGCUGCCUUGAACUCUCAAAGAACUUUGUUUGGGGAUUUUCAAGGGAAAGUGAAACUAUUAAGUGACAAGUUCCCUAUAAUCCGUGGCCUGCUUGGUAUAUUACUGAAGUCAUCUGUGGUACUGAAAUCAAUCUUCUUAAGUUCCUUCAUUAAUCUUGCACAUCAUGUUUGCAGGUUCAAUCAGGAGGCGGCGAUCAAGAGAUACUCUCAUUCUCUCUGCAGUGAUCGCGGCUUGUACGUUGUUCUUGAUUAUCUAUUGGCUUUCAAAAUGACCAGACAUGCAAUUUAUUGUUUUGGAACUAUAACAAUUGUGCUUUCCUAGGGAAUUUUGCUUCUGUAGUUUUGUGAUAACAAAUCAAGCUCACUGUUUUAACACUUGGUGAUACCCUUUUGUGGUGCCAUCAUUCAACAAAUUUCUUUCUGUUUCAUAAGCAUUUACUCUUCUAAACUCCUCAAUCAUGUAUACUGACAUUGUACCAGAAAAUGGUUUGAGGGAGAAAAAAGAAGACAGUGAUCUGCAAGUGGAACACUGAAACUGAGACAGUGUUUCACUACCAUAUCUCUUAUGGCUACGGCUAUCCGCCCCACCCCCGGACCAGCCUGAUCCUCCUUGCUCUCUAGCUCUACCGUGUCACAGGGGGUGCUAAAAAAACUAGGUUAAUGAUUGGCAUGUGAGACAUUUACUGUGUUGGUGGUACAUGUGGGUGAUAGGUACUUAACUUGCUGUUAUGUCACUUUUGCCAUGUCUUCUACUCUUGUCCCUGUCUGUGGUCCUAGAUGGUGGGUGUGCCCAUGGUACACAACCAAACCUUCACUUUUCUGAAUGGGCUUCAUCUUCUUUUUUGUUCCUCACUGAAACAUGUCUCCAUAGUAAACUUUCCUUCAUUAGCUUUUCAUCCAAUCAUCCUUCACAACUCAGUUUGGUAAUAGGUCCCCAGGAGCUUGUUUUGAAAUUUGAAGUGGUUGGCUUCAAAUCUUUUCAGGUUUGCAUGAUCUGAAAUGCUAAAAGAGUCAACCAUAGGGACAGUUUAUAGGCCAAACCCUGAUAGCUCUGCACAGGGAGAGAUGCUUUAGGCUUUGUAAAGUUAAUAUGAUUCUUUGGCCAACUUCCCUUUGUCUUCUACUUCUUUGGCAUCACAUCAUAAUCCUUGCUGAUAACUAGUAUUUUAUUAAUCUACCAUUUUAGUUCCAUUCAUUAAUAAAAAGAUUGCAAAUUUGAGAAAUAUUGAUAGUUGGAUUCUACGGAAAUAUGGAUGACAAAUCAAAAUUUCUUUUUUUGAGAUGGAAAUUAAUCAAAUUUUAUAAAAAUAUUAUUUUUUUAAUAAAUAAUAAAAUAAGUAAUGUAUAUAUUUAUUUAUAAGAUAAAAUUUGUGACAUUAAGAAAUAAUAUGUAAAACUAAAAACAUAUUUAAUACUAAAUGAUGUUGAAAAGAUUAUCAUUGAUGAUUUUUAUAUUUUUAAUGGGUAGUUUAAUGGAAUUUGAAAGUAAGAUAAUUAAAAUUUAUUUAUUUAUUAUUUUUGUAAUAUAAAUUUUAUAAAAUAUUUGGUUUUUUACCUGGAUAAAAAACUAGUAUUAAUACUAGUAUUUAUGACGGGAUAAAUUAAGUUUUAUCAAUUUUUGUGUGGUAAUAAUGUAUGAACAAUAAUUAGUUUGGUGGUAAACCGCUCUUACAUGAUAAUUUGAUUUAGGGGUUAUGUUUAUGUCGUGUCCAAGCCUAAGUAUCCUACUAUAUAACUCAACCAAAACCCGAAACUACUAAUAAUAGUAUAAAAAACAUAAAUCUAAAUACUACUUAAUUAUUUAACCCAUAACAUGUUGUGUAA